UAAGCUAUUCCUGUGCCUGUCC
rnacentral:piRNA from 1 species